CGGGAUUACCUCAGUAACGGCGAGUGAAGCGGUAACAGCUCAAAUUUGAAAUCUGGCCUCACGGUCCGAGUUGUAAUUUGUAGAGGAUGCUUCGAGCAUGGUCUGGCCUAAGUUCCUUGGAACAGGACGUCAUAGAGGGUGAGAAUCCCGUAUGCGGUCAGGUGCCUACGCUCAUGUGAAGCUCCUUCGACGAGUCGAGUUGUUUGGGAAUGCAGCUCAAAAUGGGUGGUAAAUUUCAUCUAAAGCUAAAUAUUGGCCAGAGACCGAUAGCGCACAAGUAGAGUGAUCGAAAGAUGAAAAGCACUUUGGAAAGAGAGUUAAACAGUACGUGAAAUUGUUGAAAGGGAAGCGCUUGCAACCAGACUUGCGCGCGGCCGAUCAUCCGGUGUUCUCACCGGUGCACUCGGCCGUGCUCAGGCCAGCAUCGGUUUUGGCGGCUGGAUAAAGGCCCUAGGAAUGUAGCUCCUCUCGGGGAGUGUUAUAGCCUAGGGUGCAAUGCAGCCUGCUGGGACCGAGGACCGCGCUUCGGCUAGGAUGCUGGCGUAAUGGUUGUAAGCGGCCCGUCUUGAAACACGGACCAAGGAGUCUAACAUCUAUGCGAGUGUUUGGGUGUCAAACCCAUACGCGUAAUGAAAGUGAACGGAGGUGAGAACCCUUAAGGGUGCAUCAUCGACCGAUCCUGAUGUCUUCGGAAGGAUUUGAGUAAGAGCAUAGCUGUUGGGACCCGAAAGAUGGUGAACUAUGCCUGAAUAGGGUGAAGCCAGAGGAAACUCUGGUGGAGGCUCGCAGCGGUUCUGACGUGCAAAUCGAUCGUCAAAUUUGGGUAUAGGGGCGAAAGACUAAUCGAACCAUCUAGUAGCUGGUUCCUGCCG
rnacentral:rRNA from 1 species